GCAAAACGCUAACAAUACAUGAAAGAGAAAACAUUUUUUCCCGAAUAAAAAAAAAAACUUUGAAGAACUCUCAACCUUGUUAAGCUUCACACCAGAAGAAACAGUGUGACGAGAGAGAGAGAUUGAAGAGCUGAAAGGCGAAACAACAACAUACAGUACAUGGGUUUCUAUAGCAGAAUGUUUUUGCUGUGAAAAAAACCUGUCAUUAAGAUUAUCUUUCCUUCCUCUCAAACGAGUGUGUGCAGUUUUCACACAAUAUUCAUGACCCAACACACCACGUGACUUUGCUCCCUCCCUCCUUGGACACGUCAUUAUUCUUCUAGAAGUAUGCCAAGUUAGCUUCACACCAGAAGAAACAGUGUGACGUGAGAGAGAGAGAUGGAAGAGCUGAAAGGCGAAACAACAACAUACACUGGUUUUAUAGCAGAAUGACUUUGCAGUGACUCCGUGUGAAAUACCUGUCAUUAAGGUUUGUGCUUUAGGAGGUCUGAGGAGAUUGCAAAUGUAGCAGACUUCAAAGAUUUGAAGUGGUUUGUUGAAUGGAAAAACGACCAACAACUUCAAAAUACUACAAAUCAUAUGUGAUUCUUUAAUGUACCACAUGUACUAUAUAGCGACACAUAGACUGUUCAAAUUUGAAAAACCGAUCUUAGAUUUAGGCACAGGAAGGAACAUGGUAAGCAUGAGGCAUAUGACUACAUGCAAGUAAAAACUAAUUAAUUUGAUUUUUUUUCUUUUAGGUUAAGCUUUAGGAGGUCUGAGGAGAUUGCAAGUGUAGCACACUUCUGCGACAGGUAGUACAUCUCUUUGAAUUAGUUGAGUCUCACGUAGAUAUAUAUAUUUGUAGGUAUGUGAGACUUCUGUAGUUUAUGUCUGAGAAACUUUUUAUUUAUGGUCACCCACUAACCUUUCGUGAUCAUAUUCAUGUAAUUUUAUAAUUUAAUUUUGGUUGUUGUAUGAAUGUCCUACAUUUUGCAUUCUACAUCAUGUCUUUACAGUUCUGAAUUCUGCACUCUGCAUUCUGAUUUUUGCAUUCAGCCUCAUGACUUUACAGUUCUGCUUUCUGCAUCAUGUAUUUACGGUUCUGGAUUCAUCAUCAUUUCCUUACAGUUCUGCAUUCUGAUGUUUGCAUUCUGCAUAGCUGCAUUCAGCAUAUAUCCUCGAAUUCUGCAUCAUGUAUCAUGUCUUUACAAUGUUAUAGUUAAAUUUGUAUGUCAGAGAAAUUAUGCCAUUCUGCUUCAUAGUUUAUAUAUACUGAUUAUUAUUGUAAUAUAUUAUCUAAGUGCUAUUUUACAUGAGUUCUUAAUGUACACUGAACAAAAAAUAGAUUUGUUGUGGUGCUAGUGUUUAUCCUUAGUCGUACAGAGUUGACGGUUUUGGAAAUCUAUUGAACCAUCAACCAUUGGUGUAUUUAUUUAGCAUGUGCAACAGAUCAUUCUUGAUUUCUCUAUUAUGUUCUUUUAAUGAUUGAUGUAAAAAAAGGGUAAGAAUUAGCAGCCGAACUCCAAUGUUCUCAUCUCUUUUGCAGGUAUGCAUCAUAUGUGCUCUAAUCUUCUAGGUUUUUAGGUACGCUAUAUUCUACGUCUAAAAAUUUAUUUCGGUUUCAAAAACCGUAUAUUUGCUAUAAUAGUGGUUAAACUUGGAAGUUCUCGACUCUCUAGCAGAGAUAUUUAUGUAAAAAGUUUAGCUUUGUUUACUGUGAAGGCAACGUUUCAAAGAAACUGUAUAAAUGAUUGUUAAAUAAUGGUCAUUUUCCACUACAUAUUGUGCAUUGUAGCUUGAGGUAAUUUCAGUCGCAAUCUCUUAAUAUCUUGCAUCUGGUCUCGUUUAUUAUCUACUCAUAUCUAACCUUUCAAGAUGAUAAUAUUUACUACUGCUCUUUUCUGUUUAAUAUGGAAAAUCUGAAUUUAGGUGUUAGUUUUGUUGAUAAAAAUGCUUGCUAUAUCUUUUAAAGACUUCGUAAUAUGAUAGAACUAGAGUUGGUUUGUUGCCUAAACCACUUUCGGCCCUUUUUUGUUAUGUCUUUUUUUUU